rnacentral:rRNA from 1 species
AACGUAGGUUCCGAGCGUUAUCCGGAUUUACUGGGCGUAAGGCGCGUUCAGGCGGUUUGGCAAGUCGGGCAUGAAAUCUCUCGGCUCAACCGGGAGAGGUUGUCCGAUACUGCUGGACUUGAGGGCAGUAGAGGGUGGUGGAAUUCCGGGUGUAGUGGUGAAAUGCGUAGAUAUCCGGAGGAACACCAGUGGCGAAAGCGGCCACCUGGACUGUACCUGACGCUCAAACGCGAAAGCUAGGGGAGCGAACGGG